GACGAACGCUGGCGGCGUGCCUAAUACAUGCAAGUAGAACGCUGAAGGAGGAGCUUGCUCUUCUGGAUGAGUUGCGAACGGGUGAGUAACGCGUAGGUAACCUGCCUGGUAGCGGGGGAUAACUAUUGGAAACGAUAGCUAAUACCGCAUAACAGUAGAUGUUGCAUGACAUUUGCUUAAAAGGUGCAAUUGCAUCACUACCAGAUGGACCUGCGUUGUAUUAGCUAGUUGGUGGGGUAACGGCUCACCAAGGCGACGAUACAUAGCCGACCUGAGAGGGUGAUCGGCCACACUGGGACUGAGACACGGCCCAGACUCCUACGGGAGGCAGCAGUAGGGAAUCUUCGGCAAGGGACGGAAGUCUGACCGAGCAACGCCGCGUGAGUGAAGAAGGUUGUCGGAUCGUAAAGCUCUGUUGUAAGAGAAGAACGAGUGUGAGAGUGGAAAGUUCACACUGUGACGGUAUCUUACCAGAAAGGGACGGCUAACUACGUG
rnacentral:rRNA from 1 species